rnacentral:rRNA from 1 species
GAUGAGCGCUAGCUACAGGCUUAACACAUGCAAGUCGAGGGGAAACGACAUCGAAAGCUUGCUUUUGAUGGGCGUCGACCGGCGCACGGGUGAGUAACGCGUAUCCAACCUGCCCACCACUUGGGGAUAACCUUGAGAAAGUAAGACUAAUACCCAAUGACGUCUCUAGAAGACAUCUGAAGGAGAUUAAAGAUUUAUCGGUGAUGGAUGGGGAUGCGUCUGAUUAGCUUGUUGGCGGGGUAACGGCCCACCAAGGCGACGAUCAGUAGGGGUUCUGAGAGGAAGGUCCCCCACAUUGGAACUGAGACACGGUCCAAACUCCUACGGGAGGCAGCAGUGAGGAAUAUUGGUCAAUGGGCGAGAGCCUGAACCAGCCAAGUAGCGUGCAGGAUGACGGCCCUAUGGGUUGUAAACUGCUUUUAUAAGGGAAUAAAGUGAGUCUCGUGAGACUUUUUGCAUGUACCUUAUGAAUAAGGACCGGCUAAUUCCGUGCCAGCCGCCGCCGUAA